rnacentral:rRNA from 1 species
UCCCAUCAGAACUCCGCAGUUAAGCAUGCUUCGGAUAGAGUAGCAAUAGGAUGGGUGACCUCUCAAUAAGUCCUAGUGUUGCACCCUC